AUUGAACGCUGGCGGCAGGCCUAACACAUGCAAGUCGAGCGCGCGGCGGACGGGUGAGUAAUGUAUGGGGACUGCCCGAUAGAGGGGGAUAACUACUGGAAACGGUGGCUAAUACCGCAUACUGUCGUAUAACCCAUAUGGGCUUAGAUAGUAGGUAAGGUAAUGGCUUACCUAGGCGCCGAUCCCUAGCUGGUCUGAGAGGAUGAUCAGCCACACUGGGACUGAGACACGGCCCAGACUCCUACGGAGGCAGCAGUGGGGAAGAUUGCACAAGGGGCGCAAGCCUGAUGCAGCCAUGCCGCGUGUAUGAAGAAGGCCCUAGGGUUGUAAAGUACUUUCAGUCGGGAGGCGUUACCGACAGAAGAAGCACCGGCUAACUCCGUGCCAGCAGCCGCGGUAAUAC
rnacentral:rRNA from 1 species